GGGGUGGCUGUUGCCCUUCGCCCGGGACGUCCGCCUUUCCCAGGGGUCCACGGCGGGGCCCGGCCCCGUGCCUGCUCGACAGCCGAGGCUGGGUAAAAGGGCGAGCCCAGCCCGGUUGGAGGGCCCUGGGACGGGGCGGGGCGCUCCCCGGCCCCCGGGACGCUGGGGCCCGGCCAGGCUGCGGGAAGGGCGGGUACGGGGGCUGCAGCCCGGCCUCGGGGGUUCGCAGCGGUCCCUGCGUCCGGCAGGCUGACGAGUGCUGCGUCAGGCGCCGGUUGCUGUCGAUGCUGUUGACGAAGCAGCAGGACCGGAAUGGAGUCGCUUGUGCCAAGCCCACGUCAUCAAACGGGCGUAACAGCUGACAGAACCACAGUUCAGCCUCACCCAGGAACGCAAGCUCCACCCGGCAGCUGGGAGUCUCCUGGCUGAGUGAACUUUCUGAUAGGCCCUGGAAGGCGACCUUACCUGAAACCAGAUCCACUCUGCUAGUAACUUCUUGUGUCUCUUCCCUUUUCCAUGAAAACCUCCCAUUUUGUACAGCUCUCCAGAGCCCCUUUCUAUUUGCUAAGAUGACAGGUUGCCUCAUUCAGGAGUCAUUAAAUAAGGCCAAUAAAAGCUUUAAAACUUA